UUUUGUCACAUUAUUAUUAAAGUGUUCAUCAAAAUAAUCACGCAAAAUAUGUACGGUCCAGUGAAUUAUCAAGUUUACUGUGUAUUUUCUAAUUUUAUUUUUGUUUUUGAGAUUAUACUACAGUGAUAAUAAUCAAUAGGAAAUAAACCACCACGAAAACUUACAUGGGUAACAAGGAACAAAAAUAGGCGAAUAUAGAAAGUAAAUAUUCGCUGUGGAGAAAUUCACUUUGAAAGGAUGACAACAUUUCUCCUUUUACGUACAGAUUAGUCACGUGUUAUUUUUUUCGACUGUGUUAUUUAUUUCGAUCAUGUUUUGGUUGAUUUUUACGUAACUUUCAUCAUACAAUAAAAGUAAAUGUCCUUGCGCGAUAGCUUAGAUAAAUGGAGCAUUGGUAUAUGAAGCAUAUGAAGUUGAUUGUACACACGUGCCAUUACAACAUUAUGUAUCAUGUGCACAACGUAAAGUUAGAUCAUUGCCUCGUA